CUUCAGGGCACAGGCGACUCUGACUUCUCAUUCAUGUGGGUGCUUUUAUCGAGCAAUGUUGGAAGACCUGAAGCUUUGCUACUCUGGACAAUUUCAGUUAUGUUCCUGGGACUAUCAACUAGAAAGGUCUGUGUUUGGACGUGUUUUAUACAGCUCUUUAAAGUCAUACAUUGAUGUCACACAGAUUUUCAAGGCAAGAAAAAUAAUUCUGCAUUAUUUCUUUUAAAAGAUCCUAACAUCAAGCAACUGUUAUAUACAAAUUAAAAACAACAACAACAACAAAGAAAAACAAUCCAUGCCUGUAGAAUUUAGAUUUUUAAAAAUACUGUAAAUUAAAGAAAUGGGGAAGAAGGAGCAAGAAAAAAGAAACAAAUUUCCAGGAAUUGUAAACUACCUUGUGAACUUUGAGACCCAGAGGAAAUAUAAUACAGGAAUCUAAUGGGAUCGUAUUGGCACCUGAAAGCCCCAUUGUGCUGGACAUGCCACAUGAAUAGGCCCAAUGUCCCUUCCCCAAAAGCCUGCAGAUGUUGAUGAGGGACAGCAGAUGGAAGUAACAAAGGCAUGGAGGGAUUGUGAGGUUGCAGCAGAACAAAAUAAACCUCCAAACCAAUGAACAGUUAGCAGAUUUAAAACUGUUAUAGUAAUAAUAUCCAAGAGAAGUCAAGAUCAAUAGUUGUAUACUCAAAAUGCAGCUCAACUUUGGGGAUCCUGGUAAGGAAAACUAUAAUAUAAUCUGGAUAUCGGGUGGAAUGAAAUGAAAAGGUAAGCACCCAAAAGCUGAAGUUGCAUGCUAGCUGAGGAAUUCUGGGAGUUGAAGUCCAUACACCUUAAAGUUGCCAAGUUUGCAAAACCUGUUUCAAGGUAUGAUGAACUGAGAAAAUUUAUUCCAUCAGAGUAAUUGUUCUGAAUAGACAGAGUGUUUCAUAAAAGUAAUAGGAUACUACAUCUUUCAGAGAUAAUCUUUGGGAAAUACAGUGGUGUGUAUUGAUAUUUCCCCCUUUACUUACUCUACACAGAGGGCAUGCUCAAAAUAUGCCUAACUCCACAUCCCAGAUUGAUUUUCCUAUAAUUCAGCCUUAUGCCACGCCCGUGGUGGGGAACACGUGCCAAAGGUGGCAAGCAAAGCCACUCUCUGUGGGUAUGCAUACUGUCACUAGCUGCUCUUUUGGUUUCCGGCCAGGUAGUCUUCAUGAGCACUGGAGCACCAGAAAAUGGCCUGAAAACACCCCCAAAACAGGCAGUUUUUCGGGAUGUUUUUGCACACUAAGCAGCUGGUAUUUGCUGACACGGAGCUCUGGAAAAUGGCCAAAAAACCUGGCCAUUUUCCGGGCUGCUUUCAGGGCCAUUUUCUGGGCCAGAAAACAGCCUGAAAAUGGCCUGAAAACGGUCCAAAAACCAGCCUG